rnacentral:rRNA from 1 species
GGAUUGGGAGGGUUCUACGGAACCCGUUUGGUGAAUCUAGUGCCGAGAAAAGCCUUCUAUGUGUUGAAUUUCUAGUACCCGUACCCCAAACCGACACAGGUGGGUGGGUAGAGCAUACCUAGGGGCGCGUGAUAACUCUCUCUAAGGAACUCGGCAAAAUGGCCCUGUAACUUCGGGAUAAGGGGUGCCUGCGUGAGCAGGCCGCAGUGAAAUGGCUCUGGCGACUGUUUACCAAAAACACAGGUCUCUGCUAAGUCGUAAGACGAUGUAUAGGGGCUGACUCCUGCCCAGUGCCGGAAGGUUAAGGAAGUUGGUUAGCGCAAGCGAAGCUGGCGACCGAAGCCCCGGUGAACGGCGGCCGUAACUAUAACGGUCCUAAGGUAGCGAAAUUCCUUGUCGGGUAAGUUCCGACCCGCACGAAAGGAGUAACGAUCAGAGCGCUGUCUCGGAGAGAGACACGGCGAAAUAGGAUUGUCCGUGAAGAUACGGACUACCUGCACCCGGACAGAAAGACCCUAUGAAGCUUUACUGUAACUUGGAAUUGUGUUCGGACUUUGUCUGCGCAGAAUAGGUGGGAGGCUAUGAAACGUUCCUCGCGGGGAACUUGAGCCAUCGUUGAGAUACCACUCUGGCAGAGUCUGGAUUCUAACCUACGGGGACAGUUCCAGGUGGGCAGUUUGACUGGGGCGGUCGCCUCCUAAAAUGUAACGGAGGCGCGCAAAGGUUCCCUCAGGCUGGUUGGAAAUCAGCCAUAGAGUGUAAAAGCAUAAGGGAGCUUGACUGUAAGACCUACAAGUCGAGCAGGGACGAAAGUCGGCUUUAGUGAUCCGACGGCACUGAGUGGAAGGGCCGUCGCUCAACGGAUAAAAGUUACUCUAGGAUAACAGGCUGAUCUCCCCCAAGAGUUCACAUCGACGGGGAGGUUUGGCACCUCGAUGUCGGCUCGUCGCAACCUAGGGCGGUAGUACGUCCCAAGGGUUGGGCUGUUCGCCCAUUAAAGCGGCACGUGAGCUGGGUUCAGAACGUCGUGAGACAGUUCGGUCCAUAUCCGGUGUAGGCGUAGGAGCAUUGAAAGGAUCUCUCCUUAGUACGAGAGGACCGGGAGGGACGUACCUCUGGUGUACCUGUUAUCGUGCCAACGGUAAACGCAGGGUAGCCAUGUACGGAGUGGAUAACCGCUGAAAGCAUCUAAGUGGGAAGCCCACCUUAAGAUGAGUGCUCCCUUGAGGCCACGGGAAGACGACCCGUUUGAUAGGCGCUAGGUGGAAGUGCAGUAUGCAUGCAGUCGAGGCGUACUAAUAGGCCGAUGGCUUGUCCAU